ensembl:lncRNA
CAACUGUAGUGGCACCUAGUUGCUUCUAAUUGUUCUGUACCACUUUUUGAAGUCAGUCGAAUUAUAACCAGUAUUUGAAACACGAGCAAACCACGAUCUUCUUUUGAAAUGUUUACUUCCAAAACAUAAAAUAAAAAAUGUUACAUGGUACGCACGGUCAAAAAACUGUAUUGCUUCCAACGUCUCUAACUUCAAACUAAAACUAAACAUCCAAUCGCUUGCAUUAUGACGUAGUGCGAUCUGACUGGAAGCUCAAAAUAAUUAAAUGUUAACAGAUCUACACAUUACUAAGUAUGCAUUUUAAACCAAAAUAUUUCUUAUGAAUUUUAAUAAAAUAUUUUCUUAUUCAUUUUACUAAAUUAUUAUUUCAGAUGAACUAGUGUCUAUGUGGCUCUUACAUUACCCGGCCCCUAAUUGGUUAGGCAGGAGGACUAAGCAAUUAUAAACUUAAACACUGAGAGCCAAACAAUUUCUAAAUGUUCAUAAACUAUCAACUUGUUUCUUCUUUUUUCACUCUUCUGACGUUGCCUCUUCCAACAAGCACAGUUUGUUUAUAGGCCUUUCCAGAGUGUUGGUCUUGGUCUUUAUCUUCACUCUUCGUACUGUUCCACUGGAGUCCGGGAACGUUUCAACUACCCUUCCCAUGAGCCAGGAGUUUCGUGGGGAAGAACUAUCCACUAUUAACACAAUAUCUCCCGUCAUGAAGUUUCUUUUUGGCUUUAGCCAUUUCUGGCGCUCCUGAAGAAGUGAAAGGUAUUCACGCGUCCAUCUAUUCCAAAAUAAAUCCACAAGAUAUUGAACUUGCUUCCAUCUCUUUCUUGUGUACAUGUCAUCUUUGCUGAAAAUCCCUGGAGGCAUGUUGGGUUGAGAUUUCAACAGCAGUAAGUGAUUGGGUGUUAGAGGUUCUACGUCAUUCACAUCAUCUGAAAUAGUUGUAAGCGGCCUACCGUUGAUGAUGCUUUCGACCUCACACAUUAUUGUCAGAAGACAAUCAUCGUUCACUGCUUGCUCUUUCAAAAGGGAAUUAAGGAUUUUUCGCACAGUCCGAAUUUGUCUUUCCCAAAUCCCGCCUUGGUGCGAAGCAGCUGGGCUAUUGAAUAUCCAUUUUAUUCCCUUUGGUUGCAAGGCCUUUUCAAUCUUGUCAUUAUCCAGCCGUUGAAUGGCUUCUCUCAACUCUCUUUCAGCAGCCACAAAAUUUGUGCCGUUGUCAGAACGCAUGAUGGUAACUUGACCUCUCCUGCACACAAAGCGACGAAUUGCAUUAAUGCAGGAGUCUGUGUCGAGGCUAUCUGCAACUUCAAUGUGCACCGCUCUGAGAGUGAGACAAGUGAACAUCACGCCAUACUUUUUGAUUGUACUCCGGCCCCGCUUAACAUCAAACGGCCCAAAGAAAUCAACACCGGUAUUUGUGAAAGGAGGCUUAUCUGGCAAAAGCCUAUCUUCAGGCAGGUUUGCCAUCUUUUGCUCACCAACCUUUCCAUUAAUCCUGCGACACACUGUGCAUUUGUUGAUUAUCUUUCGAAUUGCAGAAUUUGCUUUUGGGAUCCAGUACCUGCACCUCAGUUGUGCCAAGACAUAACUGCGUCCGCAGUGUCCUGUUCUUUGGUGUAUGUCUCUCAAAAUCAAUGUAGCAACUCCACUGUGCUUUGAAAUAAUUGCUGGAUGUUUAGCGUUUUCUGGCAUGGCAGACUUGUUGAGUCUUCCGCCAACCCUUAACGUGCCAUCUUGAAGAAUCGGAUCCAAUUUAAACAGCUGACUGCUCUGACUGAGCUGUUUACCUUUCUCCAGUACUUUGAUUUCUUCUCCAAACUGCUGUCUUUGACUGAAUUUGAUUAUUUCCGAUUCUGCGACAACCAGAUCAUCCAAAGUAAAUGAUUUUUUUGUUGCUUUGAAUUUCUUCAUUUGUUGCUCUAAUUUUGAUCUUUCUUUUUCAGGGUCUAUUUCAGUUUCCAUGAUUUUUUUUGAUAUUUCCUUUCUUUCCUCUUUUAGUUUCCACAGAUUUUCCUUCACCUUUAAAAUCCAGGCCACUGCUCUUUUUAGUUUAUGCCAGUCUGAGUAAUAGCUGAUCAGUUUGUCUAUUGGUUCCAUGUUUUGUUCAACUUUGAUCAUGUUGACUGUAGCUCCAUUCUUGACUUCCGGAUCAUUUUGAAGGCUUUCCUUCCUUCGCACAGGUUGUUCCGACCAAUCACAUUCCUUGUCCAGCAAGAAGUCCGGCCCAUUGAUCCAGGUUCCUCCUUGCAUGAAACUUUUAGCUUUCAGGCCCCUGCUGGCUUGAUCUGCAGGAUUUUCCGUUGUUCUGACGUACUUCCAUUGUGAUGGCUUGGUUGCCUCUCGGAUCAACGAGAUUCUGUUCGCAACAAAAGUUUUGAAACGAGCAGUUUCACUGUCAAUAUAUCGGAGCACAGUAGUACUGUCUGUCCAAAAAAUAGAUUGCUGCAAUGGAACUUGAAGCUCUUGAUGUAACAUUUUGUCUAUUUUAACAGCGACAACUGCUGCGGUCAACUCGAGUCUGGGAAUGGUGACUAGUUUGAGUGGAGCCACUCUUGCCUUCCCCAUGAGGAAUGCACAAUGUUUCUCACCUUGCCUAUUCUCUAGCAGCAGAUAAGACACAGUGCCGUAUGCUGACUCAGAAGCGUCUGAAAAAUGAUGUAACUGUGCUACUGCAGUGCAUCCAAAAUCUGUAGGCUUCAAACACCUCCUCACAUGGAAAUUAGAGAGAUGACUGACAUCUUCAAUCCAUCUUUUCCAAACUUCAGCAUGUUUUUUGCCAAUGUUCUCAUCCCAUCCAUAUUGUUCUUUACAAAGAUCUUUCAGCAGGAGUUUAGCGGGCAAGAUGACCGGAGCCAGAAAGCCAAGGGGGUCAUAGAUGGAAUUCACGACUGAUAAAAUGCCUCUUCUGGUCAUCGGCUUGUCUUGCAGCUUUAUACUGUAGGUGAAAGUAUCAGUUUCUGUGUCCCACUGUACACCGAGAGUCCUCUCGACUGUCAAAGCGUCAUGUCUCAGAUCCAGGUCCUUCACUUCGCUGGCUCUAUGUACUUCAGGGAUUGUCAUUAACACCUUCCUGCUAUUGCUCACCCACUUUGUUAGAGUGAAGCCUCCACUGGCACACAGGGUACGAAGAUCUUUAGCCAGGGUCACCGCAUCUUCUUCUUUAGCUACACUCUUCAAACAAUCAUCUACGUAGAAGUUGCGCAGAACUGUCUGGACAGUUUCUGGAGAUACAUCAGCCUUGUGAUCUUCAGCAGUUCUUUUUAGUGCAUAUGAGGCAACACUUGGUGAAGAAGUGGCUCCGAAGAGGUGCACAGUCAUUCGGAAUUCCUCCAUAGGUUCGUUCAACUUGCCGUUGGGCCACCAAAGAAAACGGAGUAGGUCUGCGUCACGUUCUGGCACCUUGACCUGAUAAAACAUCGACUCGAUGUCCGCCAUUAUAGCUACUGGCUCCUCACGAAAUCUUAAAAGCACACCAACUAACGUGUUGGUCAAGUCAGGUCCUUGGAGCAGUUCACUAUUCAGAGACCUAUCUUGAAACGAAGCUGUGCAGUCGAAGACCACCCGCAACUUUUUUUUCUUCGGGUGAUACACCCCAUGAUGCGGUAUGUAAAACAGCCUGUUGUCGUCACGUUUCAGCUGUUGGACUGGAACUUGAACAGCGUAACCUUUGUCAAUGAUGGUCUCCAUGAAGCUCUUGUACUCUUCAAAAAAUUCAGGAUUCUUCUUGAACUUUCUAAGCAAACAGGCUAUGCGCUGUUCCGCCACACAACGGUUAUUAGGCAUUUGGAGCUUCUCAUUCCUUAAUGGCAGUCCAAUGCUGUAAUGCCCAUUCUCAAAAACUGUGGUUUUCUGCACAGACUGCAUAAACUGUUUGUCUUCACAAGACAUCUCCUCUCGGUCAUCGUAGUUACGCUCUGAAAAAUCAGUGUUAUACUGUUGGACCAGCAGCUUCUCAAUCUCCAUCACAGAAAUUCUAUUUACUGAAAAAGUAGGCGUUUUAUUCAUUGCAUCGUUCAGUUCUUUUCUUACAGGCCCAUUCACAACCCAGCCAAUGGCAGUCUUCACAGCAUAAGGGCCUCCAUCCUUGGCAUUGAUAACAUGCCAUGGUUCCAUUGCUCUUGAACAGUUAGCUCCAAUAAGCAGGCCUACAUCCGCUUCUAUCUCUGGCAAGCGUACUUCAUUGAGAUAAGACCACUUCUGAAUAUCUGACUUUUUAGGUAUGUUUUUGAUGUGAACAGGUAUGUUGCUAUGAGUAAACACCUUAGGUAGCUCAAUGAACUUGGUGUCUUCCAGCCCGCACACUUCUAAGUCUGAUAUAACGAAACUGUUCAUGAGCUUCUGUUCUCCAGGUUUGUCUUGACCCAUAGUGCUAAGAAGUAUUCGUGUCGGUUUCCCUUUAAUGUUUAGUUUCUUUUGCAGGUCUUCUGUGCAGAACGUUGCUGUGCUUCCCGGGUCCAGAAAGGCGUAUGUUUCAACACACUUGUCACUCCUUUUCGAUUUUAUCUUCACCGGUACUAUUGACAGCACACAUUCCGCUUCUCCAGCCCCCAUGAGGCUACAGGACUCUUGCAGAAUAGAAACUUGAGCACAAGAUACUUCACUUCCAUGACGAGCAUCUUUCUUUUCAGAAUUUGCUAAGAUGACCCGGAACUAAGCAUCCAAAACACAAGCCCUUCUGUUUUAAGAAUUCCACACGUUCCUUAUGUGGUUGGUGUUUGAUUUUGCUGCAUGAGGCAAGGGUAUGUGAUUGCUGACAGUACAAACACGGCUUCUCAAAGGCACUCACAGUUUUACUUGAAUUUGCUGGUUUAACAGGCAUUUCUUGAGGCCCUUUGCUUUCGGUGAAAACAUUUGUUGCGAAACUGCUUCCGCGGACCUCUUUUCUUCCAUGAUACUUUUCUUUUUGGUCAGUCUUUCCACUUGAGAUUAUGCGGCUGUCUGAGAUAUUACCAAAGAGGGGAUCCAUCGCUAUUCUAGCUUGGCGGUCUAUGUAACUCACCAAAUCAGCAAACUUUGCUCUCCUGCCUCUUUGCUCUUUUAUGUCAUAAGCUUCAGCACGCCAACGUUCUUUCAAUUUAUAUGGUAACUUAGACACCACUGUCCGUAAAUUGGUUGGAUUAUCCAUCUCCUCUAAGAAUUCGAUGUCUUCCAUAGUAUUGCGACAUCCAAUCAAAAACAUUGCAUAGGCGCUUAACGCUUUCCCAUCAUCAGAUUUCACUUGAGGCCAUUUGAGUGCUUUGUCAAUGUACGCACUGGCAAUCCGUAAUUCAUCCCCAUAGUGCUUAUGAAGCAGUCGCUUCGCCUCGCAGUAGCCUUUGUUUGGAGUCAUAUGAGCACAGCUGCGAACAAGCUCUUGAGGUUCACCAGCCGUAAAUUGUUCCAAGAAGUACAAUUUGUCUUGAUCAUUGCUGGUUUUCUGCUCUAUUGCAUGCUCAAACGCCCUCAUGAAAGAUUUGUAUUGUAGUGCAUCACCCUUGAACACAGGAAUGUCCUUGGUUGGUAGGUGAGAUAGCUGCUGUUGUUUUACUAGUAGCUCAGUGAUUACAUUCUGUUUUUGCAUAACUGCUAUUAUGUCAUCACGGCUGUUAGAUUGAGCAUUAGACACAUAACUGAAGACUGGUUGAGAUUGUUGUUGUACUCGGGAGUGCUGUGUAUGUGGUUGAGCAU